GCGUCAUCACAUCGAGUAGUAUAACAAAAUCAUCACUGUAUUGUGUUUCGUUAGAUAAAGUUCUUUAAUUUGAUUCGCAAUUUAACUAAUUCAAAUUAAACCGAUUCUUUAAACCCAACUUGUCUAGACAAAUGGAGUAAACUUUUUAUCUUUCGAACGAAAUUAUGCAUUAUUUUUUUUUAUCAAUUGCUUCAAUAUUCAUUCGAAGGGAAACUUAUUGUCCACUUAUCGAUUUGUUAAAUCAGCUUAUAAUUCUGUGUUUCCUGUUUAAACAGUACGAAGGUAUGCCGAUAAAUUUGACGACAUUUGUAUAGUUAGUCUCUCCCUUUUUGUAACUUAACAUCCUCUACUUCUACGUCAUGCCAUCACAAAGAAAAUAAUGUAACAAAUGUUUCAGACUUGGAUUUGAAAAUACUUCCAAUUUGCAUGAGAUUCAAAAGUGGCUUUUUUGACAAUUUUGUUAGGUGCUGUUGGUGGGGCUGUUCUGCUAUCUUGUUUGCCAGGCACCAUUCUAUGCCUCCUA